GGAGGGAUUCCCGAGCGGUCAAAGGGGGCAGAUUGUAAAUCUGCUGGCACAGCCUUCGGAGGUUCAAAUCCUCCCCCCUCCA
rnacentral:tRNA from 1 species